rnacentral:rRNA from 1 species
CCCUUAGAUGUUCUGGGCGGCCCGCGCACUACAAUGGCGCUUUCAGCGAGUUCCUAUGUUGAAUUUUCCUGGGUAUUCUUGGAAGCGGCGUCUUGACUUGGGAUAGAUCCUUGUAAUUGUUGGUUUUGAACGAGGAAUUCCUUGUAAUCGCGGUUGAUCAGCUCGCGUUGAAUACGUCCCUGCCCUUUGUACACACCGCCCGUCGCUCCUACCGAUGAAUCGUCCGGUAAGUUCACAGAGUGGCGGUUCGUGGAGUUGCUCGCGAAGUGAAAUGGACCUCACGAUUUAGAGGAAGGAGAAGUCGUAACA